rnacentral:rRNA from 1 species
GUAAAGCGGGCGCACGGGUGAGUAACACGUAGGUAACCUACCUCUAAGACCGGGAUAACCCGUCGAAAGAUGGGCUAAUACCAGAUAAGACCACGGUCCUUUCGGGGACAGGGGUCAAAGGUGGCCUCUGCAUGCAAGCUAUCACUUGGAGAUGGGCCUGCGCACCAUUAGCUAGUUGGUAGGGUAACGGCCUACCAAGGCAAAGAUGGUUAGCUGGUCUGAGAGGAUGACCAGCCACACUGGAACUGAGACACGGUCCAGACUCCUACGGGAGGCAGCAGUGGGAAUCUUGCGCAAUGGGCGAAAGCCUGACGCAGCAACGCCGUGUGGGUGAUGAAGGCCUUCGGGUCGUAAAGCCCUGUCGGAAGGAACGAAUGUUCCCGCCGUGAACAACGGCGGGAAGUGACGGUACCUUCAAAGGAAGCACCGGCUAACUCCGUGCCAGCAGCCGCGGUAA